rnacentral:rRNA from 1 species
GACGAACGCUGGCGGCGUGCUUAACACAUGCAAGUCGAACGGAAAGGCCCUGCUUUUGUGGGGUGCUCGAGUGGCGAACGGGUGAGUAACACGUGAGUAACCUGCCCUUGACUUUGGGAUAACUUCAGGAAACUGGGGCUAAUACCGGAUAGGAGCUCCUGCUGCAUGGUGGGGGUUGGAAAGUUUCGGCGGGUGGGGAUGGACUCGCGGCUUAUCAGCUUGUUGGUGGGGUAGUGGCUUACCAAGGCUUUGACGGGUAGCCGGCCUGAGAGGGUGACCGGCCACAUUGGGACUGAGAUACGGCGCAGACUGCUACGGGAGGCAGCAGUGGGGAAUAUUGCACAGUGAGCGGAAGCCUGAUGCAGCGACGCCGCGUGCGGGAUGACGGCCUUCGGGUUGUAAACCGCUUUCGCCUGUGACGAAGCGUGAGUGACGGUAAUGGAUAAAGAAGCACCGGCUAACUACGUG